rnacentral:rRNA from 1 species
CCUACGGGAGGCAGCAGUGAGGAAUAUUGGUCAAUGGGCGAGAGCCUGAACCAGCCAAGUCGCGUGAGGGAGUACUGCCCUAUGGGUUGUAAACCUCUUUUGUCGGGGAGCAAAAGCCGGACGUGUCCGGCUGUGAGAGUACCCGAAGAAAAAGCAUCGGCUAACUCCGUGCCAGCAGCCGCGGUAAUACGGAGGAUGCGAGCGGUAUCCGGAUUUAUUGGGUUUAAAGGGUGCGCAGGCGGAUUUUUAAGUCAGCGGUAAAAUCGUGGGGCUCAACCCCAUCCAGCCGUUGAAACUGGGGAUCUAGAGUGUGCGAGAGGUAUGCGGAAUGCGUGGUGUAGCGGUGAAAUGCAUAGAUAUCACGCAGAACCCCGAUUGCGAAGGCAGCAUACCGGUGCACAACUGACGCUCAGGCACGAAAGCGUGGGUAUCGAACAGGAUUAGAUACCCCAGUAGUC